rnacentral:rRNA from 1 species
UACGAAGGGGGGCUAGCGUUGCUCGGAAUCACUGGGCUUACAGAGUUCGUAGGCGGUCUGGAAAGUUGGGUGUGAAAUCCCUCGGCUCAACCGAGGAACUGCGCUUGAAACUACCAGACUCGAGGGAGAUAGAGGAAAGCGGAACUGAUGGUGGAGCGGUGAAAUGCGUUGAUAUCAUCAGGAACACCGGUGGCGAAGGCGGCUUUCUGGGU